rnacentral:lncRNA from 1 species
ACCGGGGCCUUGGGGAGUAGACGCUGCCAUCUUUUCCUGGGGGUCUGUGUCUCAAUCAAAGGGUCUCCUUGGAGACAGAAACCCCAAGAAGCCAGAGAGACUGGAGCCGCUGGAGGCUGUGGUUCCUGGGAGCUCAAGUGCAGCCCAGUGGUGAAAUUCAUCUAGCGCUGUAAGCUUACCCUAAAAAAAGUUAACUGUGACCCCAGGAUCUCUAUGGUGGAUCAGUGUCUUUGGACACCAGGCAGGCCCUCCUUCAGGGUUGUACGUGGAGAAGGGGACCAAGAGGAGGAGGCAUCCUGGACGUCACCAGGUGCCCCAUCCGCGGCGAGGGAAACCUGGACCCGACUCUGUGUCAUUCAGAACACAUCGGGGACUCCGGUGCCCACGUCCCUGCCCGCUGCAUGCUUGGAAAGCACUGCCUCUGCCGGAAGCCGAGGCGAGAAGGUCCUCAAAGCAGACACCGGACCCCCGAGUAGCUCCGGUCUCCACGGGCCACCCCGGGUGCUGUGGGGCGAGGCCCACCCGCGCGCCGUACCGCGCAUGCGUCAGUCGGCUGAGCAGGAGGCCGCCCGCGCAGCCUCGCUCCCGCCCGGUCGCCGUGGCAACGGGCUCGCGGGGGG